rnacentral:misc_RNA from 1 species
AACUUCCAAGUGAAUGUCGCUA